AGCGAACGCUGGCGGCAGGCCUAACACAUGCAAGUCGAACGAAGCCUUCGGGCUUAGUGGCGGACGGGUGAGUAACACGUGGGAACGUACCUUUUGGUUCGGAAUAACGCAGAGAAAUUUGCGCUAAUACCGAAUGAGCCCUUCGGGGGAAAGACUUAUCGCCGAAAGAUCGGCCCGCGUUGGAUUAGGUAGUUGGUGUGGUAAAGGCGAACCAAGCCUACGAUCCAUAGCUGGUCUGAGAGGAUGAUCAGCCACACUGGGACUGAGACACGGCCCAGACUCCUACGGGAGGCAGCAGUGGGGAAUCUUGCGCAAUGGGCGAAAGCCUGACGCAGCCAUGCCGCGUGAAUGAUGAAGGUCUUAGGAUUGUAAAAUUCUUCUACCAGGGACGAUAAUGACGGUACCUGGAGAAAAAGCCCCGGCUAACUUCGUGCCAGCCGCCGCGGUAAGAC
rnacentral:rRNA from 1 species